rnacentral:rRNA from 1 species
GUGGAAGGAGAUUUCCUUAUAUCUAACAGUUGACUCGGCUCCGCCGGCCUCACUGAGGCCCCUCGGAAACGAGGAGCAGCCCGCCGGCGGCCAACCAAACUCUUGUUUCUUAGUGAAUCUCUGAGUAAAAAACAUAAAUGAAUCAAAACUUUCAACAACGGAUCUCUUGGUUCUGGCAUCGAUGAAGAACGCAGCGAAAUGCGAUAAGUAAUGUGAAUUGCAGAAUUCAGUGAAUCAUCGAAUCUUUGAACGCACAUUGCGCCCUCUGGUAUUCCGGAGGGCAUGCCUGUUCGAGCGUCAUUUCAACCCUCAAGCAUUGCUUGGUGUUGGGGCACCGCCUGUAAAAGGGCGGGCCCUGAAAUCUAGUGGCGAGCUCGCCAGGACCCCGAGCGUAGUAAUUAUAUUUCGUUCUGGAAGGCCCUGGCGGUGCCCUGCCGUUAAACCCCCAACUUCUGAAAAUUUGACCUCGGAUCAGGUAGGAAUACCCGCUGAACUUAAGCAUAUCAAUAAGCGGAGGAAGAUUCCUAAGUGCACC